rnacentral:rRNA from 1 species
CCUACGGGUGGCAGCAGUGAGGAAUAUUGGUCAAUGGGAGAGAUCCUGAACCAGCCAAGCCGCGUGAGGGAAGACGGCCCUAUGGGUUGUAAACCUCUUUUGUCGGAGAACAAAACCCGGGACGUGUCCCGGACUGCGUGUAUCCGAAGAAAAAGCAUCGGCUAACUCCGUGCCAGCAGCCGCGGUAAUACGGAGGAUGCGAGCGUUAUCCGGAUUUAUUGGGUUUAAAGGGUGCGUAGGCGGUCCGUUAAGUCAGCGGGAAAAUUGAGGGGCGAAACCCCGUCGAGCCGUUGAAACUGGCAAGAUUGAGUUGGCGAGAGGUACGCAGAAUUCGCGGUGUAGCGGUGAAAUGCGUAGAGAUCGGGAAGAACUCGGAUGGCGAAGG